GCGGGUUGCAUACUUGCAGUGGGUCUGGAUUGAGCAGAGAUGCAAGUUGACGCGAAGAAGAUGAGACAAGAGAAGCUCUAGCUGGAAAUUACCGAAAGCGGCAAAUCAGCAAAAGAUUUACCUUCCCCGCAUCUUUCGUUGAGCAUGUAUUCUCAAGCUGCUUCCUAAUAGCUGCUGGUAUCGUGACAGAUUGAGCCAUUAUUGGGCUCCUUAUACAUGCUAGACGAGAUGGUGUUAAUCACAGUCAAUGCAAAUGAUAUAUGACUGGAUAGGCCCUUGGUGAAACGACG
rnacentral:sRNA from 1 species